rnacentral:misc_RNA from 1 species
GUAACAUAACGUACGUUUUAGUAUGUCUUAAAUUUAAUUGUUAUUUAUGCGAUAUUUUAGCUAAUCUAAUUGUGAAAAAACAACGAAAACUGACGUGCGAAACUUACACUUUGUCUUGUUUGCAAGAUUGCAACUUGUGGAUUAGUGAUAUUUGCUGUUUGAACACAUUAAGAUUGUAAGACAAUGGCAGCACAGUAUAGACCAUACCGAGAUGAAGAUGGCAUAGAAAAUGAACAGAUAGAUUGGGGUGAUCAAGAAGCUGGUACAGUUCAAAUCUAUGAGAAAACUUCUAAUAGUCGAAUUGUUUCAAACAGGCAUCUAGUUAUUGGUGGAGUGGGAGUGGCCUUGCUUGGUGCACUUAUGGGGUUGCUUGUUGGUUACUUUGCUCAUUCUGAACAUAUUAAUUGUAAACCAAGUCUUGCUGUUGCUUUAUAUUCUGUGAAGGAUGAGGACCCAACUAUCAGAUCCAAAAUCCUAGAUAUGGUGGAUCCCAAAAAUAUCAAAGCUAAUUUGAGGAUGUUUAGUGACAGACCUCAUGUGGCUGGGAGCGAGACAGACCAGGAGCUAGCAUUGUACAUUAAGAGUCUUUGGGAAACUCAGAAGCUUGAAAAUGUGAAAAAAGUGAGCUAUAAUGUAUUGCUGUCCUUUCCCAAUGCAAGCAGUCCAAACAAAGUUAAUGUGCUUAAUGAAGAUGGCAGUGUUCUCUUUUCUUCUAAUAUUUCAUUUGAAAAACAUGGAGUUUCACCAUAUGUUGCCUACUCUCCAAGUGGAAAUGUCACGGGUGAUAUGGUUUAUUGCCAAAACUGUUUGGAAGAUGACCUGAGAUUCCUUCAAGAGUCAAAAAAUAUCAACUUAAGUGAAAAGAUUCUCAUUGCUCAGAUAAAACCUGGACAAUUAGUUGAUCAGGUUCAGACUGCUGAAAAGUACAACAUAGCAGGACUGAUUCUGUACCCAGAUCCCAAAUUAUACAAUCCACCCUUAUUAGGAGGAAAGUCAUAUCCAGACACGUUGUGGCUUCCAGCUGAUGGAAUUCCUCAUUUCUCGUUACUACAAAAUGGUGUUGGUGAUCUACUAACUCCAGGCUACCCAGCCUCAGAAACAGCCUACAGAAUUGAGCAGGACCAGUUAAAACUACCAAAAAUUAUAAUCCAGACUUUGAGCUAUGGAGAUGCAUACCACUUAAUUAGUUCUCUGGCCGGAGAAGAUGCUCCAGAGUCAUGGCAAGGAGGGUUCAACUUCACCUACAAGCUUGGGCCAGGUUUCUUGAAUAACAAGACAAAGGUAUAUAUGGAAGUGAACAAUCAACAAGUGAAGAAAAAGAUUAGUAAUGUUCUGGGUUACAUCACAGGAAAAGUAGAGCCUGAUCGGUAUGUCAUAAUUGGGAACCAACGGGAUGCUUGGAUUAGAGGAGCUGUGGGUGCUUCAGGAGGAACAGCUGUACUUAUGGAAUUAUCACGCGUGUUUGGACAGUUACUUCAGGAAGGUUGGCGACCUCGAAGAACAAUCAUUUUCUGUAGUUGGGGAGCAGAAGAAUUCAAUAUGAUUGGUUCAACAGAAUGGAUUGAGGAAAAUUUGAAAAUUCUUCACAGUAGAGCAGUUGCUUAUAUUAAUGCUGGAAUUGUUGUCACAGGUAAUUCCUCCAUCUCAGUGAUGGCAUCUCCUCUUCUCUACCAUGCUAUUUAUAAUUCUACCAAAGAGGUACCAAAUCCAAAUGAAGAAGAAAAACAGAUAGGAAUUGAAACAGUUUAUGAGAACUGGAAAGAGACUUUUCCAGUAUCAAGAAACAUUUCCUUUCCAUUGUAUCAUCUUCUAUUUAUACAAGAGCAACAUAGUGAAUUAGGACUUUUAGGGAACUACAUAUCUUCAGCAAAGUUAACAGUUCGUCCCAGAGUAAAGAACUUUGAUACUAAAGGAGGUUAUUCACCUUUUGUGACCCGUGCUGGAAUUCCAGCAGUAGAUGUAUCGUACGUGCAUGAUGCUAUGCCUGUAUCUUAUCCUCUUAUUCACUCCAAGUAUGAUAUGCUUGAAGUAGUUGAAAAUAUUAUAGAUCCAACAUUCAAGUAUCAUGCAACUGUGACAAAAGUACUUGGAGAACUGCUAAGAGAUCUUGCUGACUCUCUUUUUAUCCCAUUCAACCUGCUGGAAUAUGCUGAAUUUCUUUCAGGUUGUUCCAUUUCAUUAAGGAAGAUUUCAGUCAACAUAGAAAAGAAGGAAUUCCAACAAAGAUAUGUAAGCUAUCUAGACACUUUGGAUACGGUAAUUGAUGAAUUUGGUGAAGCUGCUUACAAGUUCCACAACAGCCAAGAACAUCUAGAUUUGUCUGAGUAAGUCCCAUGGCAAUUCGUCGUAUAAAUGAUCAGCUACUGCUUUUAGAACGGGCUUUUCUUGACUCUCGUGGACUGCCACGUAACUUCUUUAAGAAGCACUUGGUAC